GAUGAACGCUGGCGGCGUGCCUAAUACAUGCAAGUCGAGCGAACAGAUGAGGAGCUUGCUCCUCUGACGUUAGCGGCGGACGGGUGAGUAACACGUGGAUAACCUACCUAUAAGACUGGGAUAACUUCGGGAAACCGGAGCUAAUACCGGAUAAUAUAUUGAACCGCAUGGUUCAAUAGUGAAAGACGGUUUUGCUGUCACUUAUAGAUGGAUCCGCGCCGCAUUAGCUAGUUGGUAAGGUAACGGCUUACCAAGGCAACGAUGCGUAGCCGACCUGAGAGGGUGAUCGGCCACACUGGAACUGAGACCCGGUCCAGACUCCUCCGGGAGGCAGCAGUAGGGAAUCUUCAGCAAUGGGCGAAAGCCUGACGGAGCAACGCCGCGUGAGUGAUGAAGGUCUUCGGAUCGUAAAACUCUUUUAUUAGGGAAAAACAAAUGUGUAAGUAACUAUGCACGUCUUGACGGUACCUAAUCAGAAGGCCACGGCUAACUACGUG
rnacentral:rRNA from 1 species